rnacentral:rRNA from 1 species
GACGAACGCUGGCGGCGUGCUUAACACAUGCAAGUCGAACGGUGAAGCGCCUUCCUUUUUUGUGGGUGUGGAUGAGUGGCGAACGGGUGAGUAACACGUGAGUAACCUGCCCCCUUCUUCUGGAUAACCGCAUGAAAGUGUGGCUAAUACGGGAUAUUCUGGGUCUGUCGCAUGAUGGGUCUGGGAAAGAUAUUGUUUCGGUGGGGGAUGGGCUCGCGGCCUAUCAGCUUGUUGGUGGGGUGAUGGCCUACCAAGGCGGUGACGGGUAGCCGGCCUGAGAGGGUGGACGGUCACACUGGGACUGAGACACGGCCCAGACUCCUACGGGAGGCAGCAGUGGGGAAUAUUGCACAAUGGGCGCAAGCCUGAUGCAGCGACGCCGCGGGAGGGAUGGAGGCCUUCGGGUUGUGAACCUCUUUCGCCAGUGAAGCAGGCCUGCCUCGUUUGUGGGUGGGUUGACGGUAGCUGGAUAAGAAGCGCCGGCUAACUACGUG